UGGUAUCGCAACGGACGUGCUU
rnacentral:misc_RNA from 1 species